UUUCCGGUUGAUCCUGCCGGAGGCCACUGCUAUUGGCGUUCGACUAAGCCAUGCGAGUCUAUGGACUUCGGUCCAUGGCGGACGGCUCAGUAACACGUGGCUAACCUACCCUCAGGUGGGGGAUAACCUCGGGAAACUGAGGGUAAUACCCCAUAGGGGAAGAGGUCUGGAAUGAUCCUUCCUUGAAAGGACCAUCCGCCUGAGGAUGGGGCUGCGUCCGAUUAGGUAGUUGGUGGGGUAAUGGCCCACCAAGCCUACGACCGGUACGGGCCUUGAGAGAGGAAGCCCGGAGAUGGGGACUGAGACACGGCCCCAGGCCCUACGGGGCGCAGCAGGCGCGAAACCUCCACAAUGCACGAAAGUGCGAUGGGGGAACCCCAAGUGCCUAUGCACAGCAUAGGCUUUUCCCAAGUGUAAACAGCUUGGGGAAUAAGGGCUGGGCAAGUCCGGCGCCAGCAGCCGUGGUAACACCGGCGGCCCGAGUGGUGGCCACUCUUAUUGGGCCUAAAGCGUCCGUAGCCGGUCCAGUAAGUCCCUGUUUAAAUCCUAC
rnacentral:rRNA from 1 species